AUUUAAUGGAGAGUUUGAUCCUGGCUCAGGACGAACGCUGGCGGCGUGCUUAACACAUGCAAGUCGAACGGAGAUUAGCGAGGAGUUUACUUUUUGCUAAUUUUAGUGGCGGACGGGUGAGUAACGCGUGGAUAACCUGCCUGAUAGCCUGGGAUAACGCCGGGAAACUGGUGCUAAUACCGGAUACGCUCCUUGGGAUGCAUAUUCUGGGGAGGAAAGGAGAAAUCCGCUGACAGAUGGGUCCGCGUCCCAUUAGCUAGUUGGAGGGGUAACGGCCCCCCAAGGCGACGAUGGGUAGC
rnacentral:rRNA from 1 species